ensembl:snRNA U6 U6 spliceosomal RNA
GUGUUGCUUCAGCAGCACAUAUACUAAAAUUGGUAUGACAAAGAGAAGCUUAGCAUGUCCCCUGUGCAAGAAUGACACGCACAUUCAAGAAGCAUUUCAUAUUUAA